rnacentral:rRNA from 1 species
GUGCCAGCAGCCGCGGUAAUACGUAGGUCCCGAGCGUUGUCCGGAUUUAUUGGGCGUAAAGCGAGCGCAGGCGGUUAGAUAAGUCUGAAGUUAAAGGCUGUGGCUUAACCAUAGUACGCUUUGGAAACUGUUUAACUUGAGUGCAAGAGGGGAGAGUGGAAUUCCAUGUGUAGCGGUGAAAUGCGUAGAUAUAUGGAGGAACACCGGUGGCGAAAGCGGCUCUCUGGCUUGUAACUGACGCUGAGGCUCGAAAGCGUGGGGAGCAA